rnacentral:tRNA from 1 species
GACGAUAGCUCAGUAGGUUAGAGCGGCGACGCGAGUCGCAGGUCGCCGGUUCGAGUCCGGCUCGUCUCCA